GACAGGAGCUGCUCUGUGUUUGUGUACAGGUGUGGGUGGAGUCAAAUGGUCUCCAGCUUCCCAGCUGAGCUCCAGGACAGAAGCCCCAGCAACUCGUAUUGGUCCUGGGGAAUGGAAAGUGGCAUGGAUAGAUGGAAAAUAUUCCAAGAGACUGUCCCAUGUACUACUGAAAAUCAUGAAGAAGGCAGCAUAUGGUGUGGAAGAUGAAGGACGUGCAAACGCCACAGAAGAUCAAGUGUUACUGAAGUACUGCCUGGCACUGACUGCAGCUUUCCUGGUUUCCAUGCUGGCAGCCAUGAUAACAUGCUGUCUGCUUAUCCGGCGAUGGAGGCAGAGAAAGCAGCGCCUCGCUGCAGCUGAUGGAGCCCAGCACGAUGUCCGCGGCCACAGCUUGCCCUCGUCCUGCUCUCCUCAAGGGGCCUGGCAGAUGGACAUGAUGCCAACGGCCGUGACCACCUGCCCACUGGCCGGAUGGCAGCACCAGGGCGGCCACUGCC
rnacentral:lncRNA from 1 species